CCAUCCCAGUUCGGAUUGCAGGCUGNAACCCGCCUGUAUGAAGUUGGAAUCGCUAGUAAUCGCGGAUCAGCAUGCCGCGGUGAAUACGUUCCCGGGCCUUGUACACACCGCCCGUCACACCAUGAGAGUCGGGAACACCCGAAGUCCGUAGCCUAACCGCAAGGAGGGCGCGGCCGAAGGUGGGUUCGAUAAUUGGGGUGAAGUCGUAACAAGGUAGC
rnacentral:rRNA from 1 species